rnacentral:lncRNA from 1 species
GGUCAACGACCUCUAGGUAGAUCAUUGUGGUCAGCCUGAAUUUCAAGACAUUGGCUUGACCUUCCUAGGCAUCUCCAAGGGCUUCGAUCUGGCAGCCUUAGUUGGGAACAAGAUGUCCCUAGGGGAUCAGGUUGCUGAGAUUUUUCUAUCUUUAUCUAUAUGCUGCCUCAUAACUUUGGCUACAUUUAAGAAGAAAGUAGAGGUUUCCAAGGAA